rnacentral:rRNA from 1 species
CCUACGGGUGGCAGCAGUCGAGAAUCAUUCACAAUGGGGGAAACCCUGAUGGUGCGACGCCGCGUGGGGGAAUGAAGUUCUUCGGAUUGUAAACCCCUGUCAUGUGGGAGCAAAUUAAAAAGAUAGUACCACAAGAGGAAGAGACGGCUAACUCUGUGCCAGCAGCCGCGGUAAUACAGAGGUCUCAAGCGUUGUUCGGAAUCACUGGGCGUAAGGCGUGCGUAGGCUGUGUCGUAAGUCGUGUGUGAAAGGCGCGGGCUCAACCCGCGGACGGCACAUGAUACUGGGAGACUAGAGUAAUGGAGGGGGAACCGGAAUUCUCGGUGUAGCAGUGAAAUGCGUAGAUAUCGAGAGGAACACUCGUGGCGAAGGCGGGUUCCUGGACAUUAACUGACGCUGAGGCACGAAGGCCAGGGGAGCGAAAGGGAUUAGAUACCCGGGUAGUC